CAAGAGUGCAGAGGGGGGAUGAUAGGUAGGGAGGCAGGUUGGGAUCUGAGUCCAGCUCUUCACGGACUAGGGGCUUGGACAAAUCAUGACCUCUCCUGUCUUACCUUCCCCAUCUCUAAAAUGGGAAAAGGUGAUGACGAUCAUUAUCUGUAUCAUGGGCAUUAAUUAAGCUAAGACCCAUUAUAGCACCUUUUAAUCUCUGAUAUACUUUACAAAUGUGAGUUAUUAUCUGUGACAGCCAUGAGAACGUGCCUUACAAAGCUCCGGCUACAGGAAGCUUAAUUGACUGAGGGCCCCAGCUGCUGCACUCUCAAAUCCAUUGGUGCAAACGAGGCCACGCUUCCCAUGGGCUGUUUCCAGCCAGUAACUGAAUGCAGCAGGAAUGCUAAAACAGGCCUAAUCGGGGAGAGAUGGGACUUCUCUGCCAGAGACUGUCAGGAGAGGACUCCUGACACCUUGCUGAAACUUUCUUGCAAUGCCUGGGAGUCCAGGACACUCCUACUGAAUCUUCCUUCUCUCUCCCCUUCACUCAGAGUCUGAUGGCUCGACAAGCCGCCUCAGCUCCCUUGCUAUUUCCUCCCCCAGGUGUUCCCCUAAUUAAAUCCUGCAGUAUUUAAUCCCAUCUCAGUGUCUGCUUCCUGAAGGACCCAGACUAGCACAUUAUCCCAGAAAUCACCUGUUACCUUUGCCCAAGCAGCACACAGUUCCCCGCUCCUGACUGCCUUUCAAGUAAAUCACUUCUGCCCUAUAGUCUGUCCAUGAGGUCUGGGUGAAACUGAUGCCUCCCUCUACUCCAGAGGUUGGCCCCUGCAUAAGCCUGACCAAUCUGUCUCCUGGAUUGGACACAAUAGCCAGUGUUUGGUACAGAGAAGGGCAUGGGACUCGAUGCAAACCAAUGAGAUCCCCAUCUGAAACUUUGCUAGUGCUGUUAGGAAGAAGGCAUACUUUUACAUUGGAUUGCUAAGCUGGUAGAAUAUAAGUCUGGAGCUGCUGAGGGGCAUUUUUGCUUCGCUCCAGCCUGAGACUGAAGUCUACGCAAAAGAGAGAGUGAUGUAAGAAACUGGUGCCAUUAUUUGAGCGCCUGGAACCAGCAGUGUCUGAAGCUUCUACAUUUGUCGAUAAUAUGCUGGUGCCUCCCAUUUGGAAAGGAGGCUGAUGUUAGGCCCAUAACAUCAAGCACCUUGAGGUUUAUCCCACAUGGUGAAAAGCAUCUUGGCCAUUCUUUGGCAAUAAACAAGAGCCCCAACAAAACCAAGACUCAGUGAUCCCUAUCUCAUAGCUCAACUAGGAGCACCCAGCCUGCUGAGGCAUUGUGAGCAGGAC